GAGUGCGCGGGUGCGCACUCACCACAACACAAAAGGGUCACCCGGGACUCCCUGCCUGGGUGAUCCUUAU
rnacentral:sRNA from 1 species